AUGAAUGUGGCUGUUAGAAGCUGCAGUAAUCCAGAAUGGCUACUCUAAUCUAUGUUGAUAAGGAAAACGGAGAACCAGGCACCCGUGUGGCUGCUAAGGAUGGGCUGAGGUUGGGGUCUGGACCUUCAAUCAAAGCCUUAGAUGGGAGAUCUCAAGUUUCAACACCACGUUUUGGCAAAACGUUCGAUGCUCCACCUAAAGCUACAAGAAAGGCUUUGGGAACCGUCAACAGAGCUACAGAAAAGUCUGUAAAGACCAAGGGACCCCUCAAACAAAAACAGCCAAGCUUUUCUGCCAAAAAGAUGACUGAGAAGACUGUUAAAACAAAAAGCUCUGUUCCUGCCUCAGAUGAUGCCUAUCCAGAAAUAGAAAAAUUCUUUCCCUUCAAUCCUCUAGACUUUGAGAGUUUUGACCUGCCUAAAGAGCACCAGAUUGCGCACCUCCCCUUGAGUGGAGUGCCUCUCAUGACCCUUGAGGAGGAGAGAGAGCUUGAAAAGCUGUUUCAGCUGGGCCCCCUUCACCUGUGAAGAUGCCCUCUCCACCAUGGGAAUCCAAUCUGCUGCAGUCUCCUUCAAGCAUUCUGUCGACCUUGGAUGUUGAAUUGCCACCUGUUUGCUGUGACAUAGAUAUUUAA